CAGGUGUGGUGGCAGGCGUCUGUAUUCCCCGGUACUCAGGAAGCUGAAGCAAGAGAAUUGCUUGAACCCAGGAGGCAGAGGUUGCACUGAGCCAAGAUCACACCAUUGCACUCCAGCCUGGGCAACAGAGUGAGACUCAGUCUCAGUAACAAAAUCUAGGCUGGGCGUGGUAGCUCACGCCUGUAAUCCCAGCACUUUGGGAGGCUGAGGUGGGCGGAUCACCUAAGGUCAGGAGUUCCGGAGCAGCCUGGGCAACAUGGUGAAACCCCGUCUCUACUAAAAAUGCAAAAAUUAGCUGGGUGUGGUGGCAUGCGCCUGUAGUCCCAGCUACUAGGGAGGCUGAGGCAGGAGCAUCACUUGAACCCGGGAGGUGGAGGUUGCAGUGAGCCGAGAUCACACCACUGUACUCCAGCCUGGCUACAGAGCCAGACUCCGUCUCAAAAAAGAAAAAAAAAAAAAAGAAAAUCUAUUGACAAGAUUGACAAGAGUUCAUUUUAAAGAUGAUUCUCCACACUUGGAGCAUGGGAUCUUGCCUGUCAGCAAUUUUGAUCAGUCUCCAGAUUAGUAACUGCGACUUGCCACCCUGGUUGAUGGGCUGGCAGGAAGGAGUGUGUCAUAUCAGAGAUUGCCACAGACACCCAGGGCAAUGUGAUUUGUCACUUAACGAGGGAGGCAGAUCAAGAGCAUCUCAUCCUCCGGCUGCUGAGUCAUCCUGCUCUGGCAGUUAUUUAAACAGAAGCCUCCAGGAGACAUACAAUCAACACUCCACUCAGACAAUGCCCAGACCUCCAGAAACCAUGUGUCAAGCUCGGAUUGCCUUAGACAGAGAUAUUCACCUGGUCGUUUUGGCUUCUCUAAUCCUCCUGGUGAGAACACCUCCAAGGGAGCUUUCAGUGGCAUUUAAGGUCACUUGUGCUCUUGGGCCUAGAAACUGCCUUGAUCGUGGUUUUAGCUCACAUGAGAUGGAUAAACAGAGGCAACCCGAGGAUAAAGGCCUUGCUCAGUGUCACACAUUUCAGUCACUAAAUAAGACACAAUGGAUGCCAGUAUUCUCAUCCCCUCACAAAUAA
rnacentral:lncRNA from 1 species